UUAAUUGAAACCAAAAAGAGGUAUAUUAUUGUUAAUAAUAAAAUUAUAGAUUUCUAUCAAUUAUU
rnacentral:tRNA from 1 species